rnacentral:rRNA from 1 species
GACGAACGCUGGCGGCGUGCUUAACACAUGCAAGUCGACGACGCUACUGAGUAGCAAUAUUUAGUAGUGGAGUGGCGCAAGGGUGAGUAAUGUAUACGUAACCAACCCAUCGGAGACGGAUAACAUUUCGAAAGGGAUGCUAAAACGGCAUGAAGCCACGAUUUCGCAUGAGAUUGUGGUUAAAGAACCGGUAACAGGUUGCCGAUGGCUGGGCGUAUAUCCGAUUAGCUAGUUGGUAGUGUAAUGGGCUACCAAGGCGACGAUCGGUAGCUGGUCUGAGAGGAUGAUCAGCCACACUGGCACUGAGACACGGGCCAGACUCCUACGGGAGGCAGCAGUGGGGAAUAUUGGGCAAUGCCCGCAAGGGUGACCCAGCAACGCCGCGUGGAGGAUGAAGGCCGUAAGGUUGUAAACUCUGACAAGCAGGGAAGAACGGCUAUGGUAAAAGGCCAUAGAAUGACGGUACCUGCCUGAAGCCCCGGCUAACUACGUG